GCCGAAAUAGCUCAGUUGGGAGAGCGUUGGACUGAAGAUCUUAAGGUCGCUGGUUCGAUCCCGGGUUUCGGCA
rfam:Daphnia pulex DAPPTscaffold_635_Cont10400, whole genome shotgun sequence.